GACGAACGCUGGCGGCAUGCUUAACACAUGCAAGUCGAACGGAAAGGCCCUGCUUUUGUGGGGUGCUCGAGUGGCGAACGGGUGAGUAACACGUGAGUAACCUGCCCUUGACUUUGGGAUAACUUCAGGAAACUGGGGCUAAUACCGGAUAGGAGCUCCUGCUGCAUGGUGGGGGUUGGAAAGUUUCGGCGGUUGGGGAUGGACUCGCGGCUUAUCAGCUUGUUGGUGGGGUAGUGGCUUACCAAGGCUUUGACGGGUAGCCGGCCUGAGAGGGUGACCGGGCACAUUGGUACUGAGAUAGGGCCCAGAAGCGUACGGGACGCAGCAGUGGGGAAUAUUGCACAAUGGGCGGAAGCCUGAUGCAGCAACGCCGCGUGCGGAAUGACGGCCUUCGGGUGGUAAACAGCUUUCGCCUGUGACGAAGCGUGAGUGACGGUAAUGGGUAAAGAAGCACCGGCUAACUACGUG
rnacentral:rRNA from 1 species